UAUGUGAUGAAUAUUUCAAACGUUGCAACGACUCUCCCAAAUCCAAUAGCCCAGUCGUAGAACUAUUCGUGAGAGAGAGAGAGAGAGAGAGAGAGAGAGAGAGAGAGAGAGAGAGAGAGAGAGAGAGAGAGAAGUGUAAAGAAGUGAGGACAAUAUUUUUUUAGGAGGACAAUUUUUAACCAUUUGACAGAAGUUGUGAGGACAGAAAGUACAGCUAGAUCAAAAUUUUGUCCUCGCAAUCAUGACCCACAGCAUGUGAAAGGUGCAGAUAUAUACAAAAUAUUAGAUUAGUGAGGACAAGUGGUGUGGGGACAUGUUCUCAGGGACCGGUCAAUAUUUACUAGGGGGGGGGGGACCGGUGCAAAAUGCAAUAGGACACAAUUUAGGGACCGGUCAAUAUUUAUUGGGGGGUCAGUGGUACCAGUGCAUUCCAAAUUUCCAUUUUAAAAAAACCAAACCAUGUCCUAUCUUCUAAAAGUGCAAAAAAAAAAAAAAAAUUGCUGUCCUAUAUCAAAUGUUUAAUUAAAAAAAAUAUUUGUGUGUGUCCUAUCUAAUAAAUUAAUAUAUAGGCCUAGGCCUAUGUAUGAUUAAACAUUUUUACUUCAUUUUAAAAAUCUCUGGAGUUCUUCAAAAUCAUCACUUAAAAAGUUGUCUCUCCAGUCAUAUCGGCUGAGGGAUUCAAGCUCCUGAGAAACUAUUGUUUACUUUGUCAUGUUUAUUCGGUGAAGUUAUUUUCAUUUUUGUUGUUGUUGUUGUUCUUUUUGUUAAAUUGUUGUUUAAAACGCUACAUUUUGCAUAUUCUUUAAUGACUGUUUUACUGAACUGUUGUCUCAUGUACAUGUACUUACAAGUAUUUUUCACAUCUCAGCAUUCUCUAUGGAAGGUGAAGAUAACGAACAGUAAUCAAUCUCAUAACUCUUAAUACAGUGAAAUUUUACGUUUUUAAUACUUUAUUUCAGGGAUUUUAUUUAUUGAAAAUAAAUUGCUUUAAUUCAAUUUCUUUACAGUGUUUUGAAAUUUGAUAUGAGAAUAAAGUUUUAUCAAAUUGAAAUCAUUAUUAUAACUAUGACUUGUGUUUGUCUUGUUAUUUCAUUACUUAUUAAAUUUUACUGCUUACUAUGCAGAACAGGUUUUUCUUUAGGAUAAUUGUUACUAUUUAUAGAUCACUCUAGUUUGGUCACAUGGUUUUUAGGAGGGAAAUUUCUUUUGAGGACAGGUAUUCUUGUUUUCAUGCUUAAGUGGCACGGAAGGGUUUUUGGAUAAAAGUUUCAUAUAGUAGCUUGUUCUUUACUAGUGGAUUGAUUUAUUGGAUGGAGAUUUAUUCUAUUUGAUCAGGUUAGUAUUAAGCUUAGGAUGCACUAUUUCUUUAUUUUCACUACUUUAUCUUGUCUGAGUGAAUGUUUGAAAGAUAGACAAUAUGAGGAGUGAAUCCCAGAUAGCAUGACUACGUUGGCCCAACGUUGGCUAAUGGCUGGACCGUUGGCCGAUGGUUGGCGUUGGCUAAACAACGUUGGCCCAACAUCGGACCAAUGUCAACAUAUCACGUUCAUACUCUGAUGCCGUGGUUAGUCGGGAAUACAACAUUGGCCCAACAUUGGGCCAACGUUGUAAGAUCGUGAUGAAAUUAUGACACACGCACACACAAAUGCACAUGACUCGCAUAUUUUGAAGAAGAGGAUGCUGAGUUAAUUUGAAUAUUAAGAUUAGUGUAGAAUGUAUAAUUGAUUUGAAAUAUUUAUAAUUUUUAUAAAAUAUAUACACACAUAAUUGGUUUGUUUUUUUUAGAAAACAUUUUUAAAAAAAUAAUAUACAUUCAUGCAAAUAUCGUUAAUGCAGGGAUACAAAUAUUAACCUUGCAUAUCAAAAGAAUGAACUCAAAAGAGAAAGCUUUAACACAUUGCAAAGAUUACAUAACUGCUAUAAAGUGUUGGAUUUAGGAAGCAGAUUCUAAGAUAAGAGCACAUUUACUGACCAAGCAAUUAGGACGGAGUUUUUCACAGCUUGAGACUGGCCAGUUUCUAUGGUAAUCUUGAUAUCUGAUAUGUUGGGAUGGUCAACCCUGCAUCUAUUUUACGCAUCCAGCAUACUUAUCUCGGAGUUUUACUGAAGAAUAACGUGAUACAAGGAAAAUUUAUUCUGGGGAGUGGAUUAAAGUAAUACGACCCUCAAAUGGUGAAUUUUCUUUCUUUUAAAAAAAAAACAAAAAAAAACACAACUCUUCUAUUAAUAUUAUAAAGCGUUAUGAGGGACUUUAUUUUCAUAUCUAAAUGACCACUCGCUGUUGGCGUGGUCCGCUAAGUACUGUGCAUUUAUAACAAUACUGUAUUGACUCAAUAUUGGCAAUUUUGAAUUACAGGUAAAUAAUCUUUAUCUUGUAAUGGCCCAACGAUGGGCCUACCGAUACAUUGCAAUUUGCUAUAUUGGCCUAAUGUUGGCCCAACGAUUACAUGCAUGUGUUACUACGUUGGGCCAACAUCGCCCCCAACAUGUUGGGCCAACAAAGGCCCACUUUGCACUUAGACAUUGCGCCAACAUUGUCCUCCCAACGUUGGGCCAACAAAGCCGGUUACAAUGGACCAACGUUGUGCCAACGUACGUAUGCUAUCUGGGAUGAUCUUUGCAAGUUUGCACGAAUGCUGUAAAUAAUUGAUGUAGAACAUAUUGAUAUAUAAUUAAAUAAGAUUCAAAUUAAUGUGUUUAACUUUUAAAGGAGAGAAUGAAUGUAUUACACUUUAUAAAUACUUAAGAGUAAAUAUUCAUUCAUGCAAUAAAUUAUAACUCUACAGUAAAUACCUAUUUUAUUAUAGUUAGAACAUCAACACAUACUACAAUGUAGGAGGAUUUCUUAAUGUUUGCACCGACCUUUGCACCUCAUGGGAGGGUCAUGCAACAAUCAUCACCACAAUAAAGAUAAAACCCACGA